GACGAAGGUGGCGAGCGUUGUUCGGAAUCACUGGGCAUAAAGCGCGCGUAGGCGGUCUAUUAAGUUGGAUGUGAAAUCCCUCGGCCCAACCGAGGAACUGCGUCCAAUACUGGUAGACUUGAGGGUUGGAGAGGUGCAGGGAAUUCCUGGUGGAGCGGUGAAAUGCGUUGAUAUCAGGAGGAACACCGGAGGCGAAGGCGCUGCACUGGCCAACUACUGACGCUGAGGUGCGAAAGCUAGGGGAGCGAAC
rnacentral:rRNA from 1 species